UUUGGGAAUUUAGGAAUCAAGUAGGACUCUACCUCCUUUGGACCACUCACUCUCCGAUGUUGUGCGGUCUUCUUCCUCUUUUCUCUUUUUAGUUUCCUUCUUCUACUCAUCUUCGACAUUCUUCCUCUCUUCUUCUUCUUAUUGUGCAGCCAUGCAGACUUUUCUUCUUGCUGCAAAUCGGGGGAAACAACUUCAGAAAACUAAAAGAUGGCUUGCGGCAAGGAGAAUCCUUCUCUGGUUGCAGUUCCCGUGCGAGUGAGCGGGACUGCACCUCCAUUCUCUUCCCAAACCAGAACCAGAUAUGGUCAGGGCUCUUCUUGCUUUCUUGGAUCUGUUCUUGCAGUUUCUUGAGAUUCAAAUUCUAUUUUCUAAGUGAUCCAAGUUUGGACGAGCAAAUUGAAGGCCUUUUGAAAGUCCUUGGCACGAGCUCGGGUAAUAGGUCCCUCCGGAACUUGAGUCGUGCUUCCAGCUUCUCCCAAGUUGUCUUCUUGGUCUCUUAUGUCCAGGUUUACAUCAGGUCCAACAACCAAUAUUCAGCCCCUGAAGCUAAGGACUUUCAAUCUAAUAUUGACAACCUUGGAUUGGUCGGUCUUCUUUUGAAAAGCGGGAAUUGGACCUGGAGCAGUGAGAGAGAAUUACCUUUUAUUCAAGGAUCGAAAAAUUCCUAAUCAGUAACGAUCUCCUUCUGGACAUAUCGAGUCUCACUCAAAAAUUACUCACUAAACCUCUUUCUGAUCAUUUUCUGAUUCGUUUAGAUCCUGAGGGUAUUAAAUGGGGAGUUUCACCAUUUAGAAUUGAUAACAAAUGGCUCAAAAUAGAAAGUUUCAAGUCCUUGGUGGAAUCGGUAUGGAAAAAUACGGUGCGCAAAGGAACUCCUAGCUUCUGUCUAACCAUGAAACUCAAAAAGCUAAAAGAAAAAAUAAAAACCUGGGCUAAUGAAGUGGAAAUAGCUGAGAAAAACCAUAUCAAUGGGGUAAUGUAUCAACUAGACCUACUGGACAAGGCUGAUGGUGAUCUCGAUCUAUCACUUAUUGAUGGGGAAAGAAAGAACACAAUCAAACUGGACUUGGCCAAUAAACUCAAUUUAGAAGCUCAAUCUUAGAAACAAAAAGUUAGGGAGAAAUGACUAAAAGAUAGAGACAAAAACACCAAGUAUUUCCAGUGUCUUGCUAAUUAUUGCAGAAGUAUUAACGAUGUGGAGGAACUUUAUAUUAAAAACUCUUAAGAUUUAGGAAAAUAAUAAAAUGAGAGACAGCGCAUGCAAUUACUUUCAGAACAUGUAUACAGAAGAGUGUAAUUGGAGACCGAAGCUUGAUAUUCUACAUUUUAAUAGAUUAGAUGAUCUUGCAAUCUCUUUUUUGGAAGCUGAUUUCACGGAAACAGAGAUCUAUGAUUGCCUUAAUAGUUGUGAUAGGGAUAAAGCACCGGAUCCAGAUGGCUUUAAUAGAAAAUUCUUCCAAGUGUUAUGGGGAAUCCUUAAAGUUGAUGUUAUGAAGUUCUUCAAGGAUUUCUGUAAAAAUUCUUCCUUUGUCAAAUCACUUAAUUCCACUUAUAUGGUUUUGAUUUCAAAAAAGAAGAAUGCAUCCAACAUUAAAAAAAUUCAGGCCUAUUGGCUUAAUUGGUUAUGUCUACAAGCUCCUUUCAAAGGUCUUGGCCAAUAGAUUAUCCAAAGUCGUCGGCUCGAUCACUAGAAAAAACCAACAAGCUUUUGUUUAUGGGCAAUAAAUUACGGAUGUUAUCCUUAUGACCAACAAAGUGAUUAAUGAUGUUAUAAGAAAUAAGAGAAGUGGUGGUUUAUGUAAACUUGACAUGAAGAAAGCUUUUGACCAUGUCUCGUGAGAUUUUAUUGAUCAUAUGCUUAGGUAUCUCUGUUUCGGAUUCAAAUGGAGAAGCUGGAUUAGGGAGUGUAUUACAUCCACGUGUUUUGUUGUUAUGAUAAAUGGAGGCCUAUCAAAAUUCUUCAAGACCAGUAGGGGGUUAUGGCAAGGUGACCCCUUCUCCCCCUUAUUAUUCAUUAUCGUCGUGGAAGCCCUUAAUAAAUUUGUUAUACAGGCUCAAAAUUUAAGGUUGUUGAGGGAUAUUUAUGUGGGGAAGAAUGGUCACCAAAUUGAAUUUUCUUAUCUUUUAUCUAUGGAUGACACACUCUUUUUGUUUUAAGCUGAUAUCAGGAAUAUUCUUCAUUUUAGAUGCAUCCUACUGUGCUUUUAGACGAUAUCCACCCUUAAAAUCAACAUGGAAAAAUCAGAAUUAAUUACACUUGGGGACAAUAUAGAUGAAUCUCUUGCUGGUGUCCUUGGCUACAAAUUUGCCCAUCUUCCCAUAAAAUAUCAGAGUGUUCCUUUAGGUACCAAACAAAAAAAUAGUCAGAGUUGAGAACCGAUCGUCGAGAUGUUUUAUAGCAGAUUGGCUUGUUGGAAUAGUAAAUAUUUGUAUAAAGAUGAAAAACUAACUCCCAUUAAAAGCAUUUUGUUAAAUCUUCGCAUCUAUUAUCUAUCAGUGCUCAUUAUAUCCAAAAAAAUUACUAAAAAACUAGUAUUUAUUUAAUGUCGAUCCCUUUGGGGGGGAUGGCGACGUGAACAAAA